UGGCUCAGUUGGUAGAGCAAGGUGUGUGCAACGCCAGGGUUGUGGGUUCGAUUCCCAC
rnacentral:tRNA from 1 species